UGGGGAAUAUUGCUCAAUGGGGGAAACCCUGAUGCAGCGACGCCGCGUGAACGAAGAAGGUAUUCGUAUCGUAAAGUUCUGUCCUAUGGGAAGAUAAUGACAGUACCAUAGAAGAAAGCUCCGGCUAAAUACGUGCCAGCAGCCGCGGUAAUACGUAUGGAGCGAGCGUUGUCCGGAAUUAUUGGGCGUAAAGGGUACGCAGGCGGUUUAAUAAGUCGAAUGUUAAAGAUCGGGGCUCAACCCCGCAAAGCAUUGGAAACUGAUAAACUUGAGUAGUGGAGAGGAGAGUGGAAUUCCUAGUGUAGUGGUGAAAUACGUAGAUAUUAGGAGGAAUACCAGUAGCGAAGGCGACUUUCUGGACACAAACUGACGCUGAGGUACGAAAGCGUGGGGAGCAAACAGG
rnacentral:rRNA from 1 species